GACCAGGACCAGGGGAGAGAGGAGCGGAGUGGAGCGGAGAGGAGGAGGAGAAGGAAGAGGAAAGUUUAGGAGAGGAGCUGAGAGGAGAGGAGAGGAGAGGUGAGGAGAGAGGAGAGGAAGAGGGAAGGUGAGGAGAGGGGAGAGGAGGUGAAGAAAGGUGAGGAGAAUUGAGGAGGUGAGGAAAGGUGAGGAGAGAAAAGGAGGUGAGAGGGGAGGAGAGGAGGAGAGGAGGUGAAUAACAUUCCUAUAUUGGGAGGAGGUUGUCUGGCGACACUCUAUCUAGGGAGUUGAAACACGAUACACACAGACACACAAUAUGCAAACACCAACACACACACACACACACACACAGACACAUGCACACAGAC
ensembl:lncRNA